rnacentral:lncRNA from 1 species
AGUUGUAAGCAAAUAUUAUAGCAAAAGCAGCCUUAAGUAGGUUUUUGAAGAACUGACAAAAAAAGACAAAAUGUAACCAAAGCUCACCAGACCACAGAAGGAGUCAUCAUUGAGUUGGAAAGCAGAUUCUGGGUAUCCUGAAAUCACAAUUGGGGCGACCCCCAGCACAUGACAACAGCAGCCUUUGAUCCUACUUUGAGUUAAUUUCUGGGCUUUUAAUCAAAUCUUACACAA